rnacentral:rRNA from 1 species
AGAGUUUGAUCAUGGCUCAGAUUGAACGCUGGCGGAAUGCUUUACACAUGCAAGUCGAACGGCAGCACGGGGCAACCUGGUGGCGAGUGGCGAACGGGUGAGUAAUACAUCGGAACGUGCCCAAUCGUGGGGGAUAACGUAGCGAAAGUUACGCUAAUACCGCAUACGAUCUACGGAUGAAAGCGGGGGAUCGCAAGACCUCGCGCGAAUGGAGCGGCCGAUGUCAGAUUAGGUAGUUGGUGGGGUAAAGGCUCACCAAGCCAACGAUCUGUAGCUGGUCUGAGAGGACGACCAGCCACACUGGAACUGAGACACGGUCCAGACUCCUACGGGAGGCAGCAGUGGGGAAUUUUGGACAAUGGGCGCAAGCCUGAUCCAGCCAUUCGGCGUGCAGGAUGAAGGCCUUCGGGUUGUAAACUGCUUUUGUACGGAACGAAACGGCGAGCUCUAAUACAGUUUGCUAAUGACGGUACCGUAAGAAUAAGCACCGGCUAACUACGUG